GGUUGUGGCUCAGUGGUAGAGCACUUGCCUAGCAUGUGUGAGCCACUGGGUUGAAAUCUCAGCACCA
rnacentral:tRNA from 1 species